rnacentral:misc_RNA from 1 species
UGGACUACCGGGGUUUCUAAUCCUGUUUGCUCCCCUAGCUUUCGUGCCUCAGUGUCAGGAAUUGUCCAGGGACUCGCCUUCGCCACUGGUGUUCCACUUGAUAUCUACGCAUUUCACUGCUACACCAAGUAUUCCAGUCCCCCCUCCAAUCCUCUAGCAGGGUAGUUUCCAAUGCCAUUUCGGAGUUGAGCUCCGAGCUUUCACAUCCGACUUACCCCACCACCUACGCACCCUUUACGCCCAGUGAAUCCGAACAACGCUUGGGACCUCUGUAUUACCGCGGCGGCUGGCAC